GAUGAACGCUAGCGACAGGCUUAACACAUGCAAGUCGAGGGGCAGCAAUUUGUAGCAAUACAAAGUUGGCGACCGGCGCACGGGUGAGUAACGCGUAUGCAACCUACCUACAACAGAAGAAUAAUCCGGCGAAAGUCGGUCUAAUACUUCAUAAAACAGGGAUACCGCAUGGUGUUAUUUGUUAAAGAUUUAUCGGUUGUAGAUGGGCAUGCGUACCAUUAGGUAGUUGGUGAGGUAACGGCCUACCAAGCCUACGAUGGUUAGGGGUUCUGAGAGGAAAGUCCCCCACACUGGUACUGAGACACGGACCAGACUCCUACGGGAGGCAGCAGUGAGGAAUAUUGGUCAAUGGGCGAGAGCCUGAACCAGCCAAGUCGCGUGAAGGAUGACGGCCCUAUGGGUUGUAAACUUCUUUUGCAGGGGAAUAAAGAUAUCCACGUGUGGGUAGUGGGUAU
rnacentral:rRNA from 2 species